AUUGAACGCUGGCGGCAUGCCUUACACAUGCAAGUCGAACGGCAGCACGGGUGCUUGCACCUGGUGGCGAGUGGCGAACGGGUGAGUAAUGCAUCGGAACGUACCUUAUCGUGGGGGAUAGCGCAGCGAAAGCUGUGCUAAUACCGCAUACGCCCUGAGGGGGAAAGCGGGGGAUCGAAAGACCUCGCGCGAUUAGAGCGGCCGAUGCCUGAUUAGCUUGUUGGUGGGGUAAAAGCCCACCAAGGCGACGAUCAGUAGCUGGUCUGAGAGGACGAUCAGCCACACUGGGACUGAGACACGGCCCAGACUCCUACGGGAGGCAGCAGUGGGGAAUUUUGGACAAUGGGGGCAACCCUGAUCCAGCAAUGCCGCGUGAGUGAAGAAGGCCUUCGGGUUGUAAAGCUCUUUUGUCAGGGAAGAAACACCGGCUCUAACACAGUCCGGGAAUGACGGUACCUGAAGAAUAAGCACCGGCUAACUACGUGCCAGCCGCCGCCGUAA
rnacentral:rRNA from 1 species